rnacentral:rRNA from 1 species
CCCCUAGAUGUUCUGGGCCGCACGCGCGCUACACUGAACAGUUCAACAAGUCUUAACCUUGGCCGAUAGGUCUGGGUAAUCUUUGAACGCUGUUCGUGAUUGGGAUAGACCUUUGCAAUUAUGGGUCUUCAACGAGGAAUUCCUAGUAAACGCAAGUCAUCAGCUUGCAUUGAUUACGUCCCUGCCCUUUGUACACACCGCCCGUCGCUCCUACCGAUUGAAUGGUCCGGUGAAAAUUUCGGACAGUGACGAUGCUGGCGGUCCGCCGCCGGCGCUGUCGCUGGAAGAUCUUUAAACCUUAUCAUUUAGAGGAAGGAGAAGUCGUAACA